rnacentral:rRNA from 1 species
CGGGUGAGUAACACGUGGAUAACCUACCUAUAAGACUUGGAUAACUUCGGGAAACCGGAGCUAAUACCGGAUAAUAUAUUGAACCGCAUGGUUCAAUAGUGAAAGAUGGUUUUGCUGUCACUUAUAGAUGGAUCCGCGCCGCAUUAGCUAGUUGGUAAGGUAACGGCUUACCAAGGCAACGAUGCGUAGCCGACCUGAGAGGGUGAUCGGCCACACUGGAACUGAGACACGGUCCAG